GAGGGGCCCGCGCCCGAUUAGCUUGUUGGUAGGGUAACGGCCUACCAAGGCUUUGAUCGGUAGCCGGUCUGAGAGGAUGGCCGGCCACACUGGAACUGAGACACGGUCCAGACUCCUACGGGAGGCAGCAGUGGGGAAUCUUGCGCAAUGGGCGAAAGCCUGACGCAGCGACGCCGCGUGGGGGAUGAAGCUUCUCGGAGUGUAAACCCCUUUCGACCCGGACGAAUGGCCCGCAAGGGACGUGACGGUACGGGUAGAAGAAGCCCCGGCUAACUACGUGCCAGCAGCCGCGGUAAGACGUAGGGGGCCAGCGUUGCUCGGAAUUACUGGGCGUAAAGGGUCCGUAGGCGGUGCGGCAAGUCGGGGGUGAAAUCUCUGGGCUUAACUCAGAGGCUGCCUCCGAAACUGCCGUGCUCGAGUGCGGGAGAGGCGAGCGGAAUUGCAGGUGUAGCGGUGAAAUGCGUAGAUAUCUGCAGG
rnacentral:rRNA from 1 species